UACGUAGGGGGCAAGCGUUUGUCCGGAUUUAUUGGGCGUAAAGAGCGUGUAGGCGGCCAUGCAGGUCAGCUGUGAAAACUCGAGGCUCAACCUCGAGACGUCGGUUGAAACCGUAUGGCUAGAGUCCGGAAGAGGAGAGUGGAAUUCCCGGUGUAGCGGUGAAAUGCGCAGAUAUCGGGAAGAACACCUAUGGCGAAGGCAGCUCUCUGGGACGGUACUGGACGCUGAGGCACGGAAAGCGUGGGGAGCAAACAGG
rnacentral:rRNA from 1 species